CUGUCUCUGUCUCUUUCUCUGUCUCUGUCUCUCAGACACCCUCUCUCUGAAAAUUGUCUUGAAAACACAACAUGAAAAUGGCCCAAUUCCACCAGGUUUUAAUAAAGUUGAGCAGUUCCAGGAGGUUGUUCUAGGUAGCACUAGAGUUAAUCUGUCAUGUAUGGGAGAUAACUGUGUCAGAAUUGGAGGCUGCAUUGGUGUAGUAAUGAAUAUUCUUCAAUGUCAGGAGAAGGUGUAUGUAAUCUACAGAGAAUGUGAGCAAAUGGAACCUUUCUUUCACUAUCCCAUAAACUCAAUUCAGAUGGGGGUCUAUUUAGUAGAUAAUCUCUCAUCUAGCCUGAAAUGAUUGAAUUGAAUGGAAAUGUGAUGAAGUAUGUGAGGCUACCAUAUCAAGGCCGAUUUGUUGCAGUGCGUUUACUGCACAUAAAGUGGUAAUGUAAUUGAGAAUGACAUACAGCACUGCCUCAUCAAAAUAAUUCAUUUUUCAGUUAUUUAAUUCAUGCAUUUUUAAAGUCAUUUAGACAUGAAAUUAGAUUAGGUGUCUUGGGACAUUAGAGAGGUGUUCACCACUGGAAUGUUGGAUGUCUCUGAUCCAUGUAUUCUUAGGAAUGUUUAUAGCAAUUUAAGUUUUAUUAAUCUUUGUUUUUUUCACUGAACAGACAGCUAUGAGGAAAGAAGGAGAAAGGUUCGAGAGGCUGAGGUUUGAUCUGACCUUCAGACCAGAGGGGACUUCAAUAUCCUUUACAGAAAUGCUGACCAGUAACCACACCAUCUGGCAGCCUGAGGAUUUCACAUGUGAACCCUCAACAGACUCUAUUACACGGAUGCCAAAGGACUCCUCAGACCCCUACUCCUGAAGUUAUUGUCACUCCACAAGAGCCUUCAAGAUCUGGGUUCCAAGAAACACCUUUCCGUGCAAAGAGCUCUACAGCCACCUGAAGUCAGUGCCAGUCCAAACCCACCACAGCCUCAACAGACUCCAUUACAUGGACACCAAAGGACUCAUCAGACCCCUACCCCUGAAGUCACUGUCUAUGCUGUCCGAAAGAACCCGUUAACAUCAAGGGCAACAAGUGCUGAGAUUGUGACGGUGAUGAAAAGGUGGCUGCAGCUGGCUUCAGACCGUGGAGGAGGAUGGAAGAGGUGC